rnacentral:rRNA from 1 species
AGAGUUUGAUCAUGGCUCAGAUUGAACGCUGGCGGCAGGCUUAACACAUGCAAGUCGAACGGUAACAGAACUAGCUUGCUAGUUGCUGACGAGUGGCGGACGGGUGAGUAACGCGUAGGAAUCUACCGAAUAGUGGGGGACAACAGUUGGAAACGGCUGCUAAUACCGCAUACGCCCUACGGGGGAAAGGAGGGGAUCUUCGGACCUUUCGCUAUUUGAUGAGCCUGCGUGAGAUUAGUUAGUUGGUGGGGUAAUGGCUCACCAAGGCGACGAUCUCUAGCUGGUCUAAGAGGAUGAUCAGCCACACUGGGACUGAGACACGGCCCAGACUCCUACGGNAGNCANCAGUGGGGAAUAUUGCACAAUGGGGGAAACCCUGAUGCAGCCAUGCCGCGUGUGUGAAGAAGGCCUUCGGGUUGUAAAGCACUUUCAGUUGUGAGGAAAGGUUAAGGGUUAAUA